UACGAAGGGGGCUAGCGUUGCUCGGAAUCACUGGGCGUAAAGGGUGCGUAGGCGGGUCUUUAAGUCAGGGGUGAAAUCCCAAGGCUCAACCUGGGAAUUGCAUUCGAGACUGCAUUGCUGGAGUACGGAAGAGGAAGGCGGAAUUCCCGGUGUAGCGGUGAAAUGCGCAGAUAUCAGGAGGAACACCGGUGGCGAAGGCGGGUCUCUGGGCCGAUACUGACGCUGAGGAGCGAAAGCGUGGGGAGCGAACAGG
rnacentral:rRNA from 1 species